rnacentral:rRNA from 1 species
ACGGGGUGCAGCAGGCGCGAAAACUUUACAAUGCGGGAAACCGUGAUAAGGGAACCCCGAGUGCCCGUAAAAUCGGGCUGUUAACCUGUUUAAAAAGCAGGUGGAGAAAGGGCCGGGCAAGACCGGUGCCAGCCGCCGCGGUAAUACCGGCGGCUCGAGUGGUGGCCACUAUUACUGGGCUUAAAGCGUCCGUAGCUGGAUUGUUAAGUCUCUUGGGAAAUCUACCGGCUUAACCGAUAGGCGUUCAAGGGAUACUGGCAACCUAGGGACCGGAAGAGGUGAGAGGUACUCCAGGGGUAGGAGUGAAAUCCUGUAAUCCUUGGGGGACCACCUGUGGCGAAGGCGUCUCACCAGAACGGCUCCGACAGUGAGGGACGAAAGCUGGGGGAGCAAACCGGAUUAGAUACCCGGGUAGUCCCAGCUGUAAACGAUGCGCGUUAGGUGUAUCGGUGACCACGAGUCACCGAGGUGCCGAAGAGAAAUCGUGAAACGUGCCGCCUGGGAAGUACGGUCGCAAGGCUGAAACUUAAAGGAAUUGGCGGGGGAGCA